rnacentral:rRNA from 1 species
GGGGAUAACCUUUGCGAAAGUAAGACUAAUACCCAAUGAUAUCUCUAGAAGACAUCUGAAAGAGAUUAAAGAUUUAUCGGUGAUGGAUGGGGAUGCGUCUGAUUAGCUUGUUGGCGGGGUAACGGCCCACCAAGGCGACGAUCAGUAGGGGUUCUGAGAGGAAGGUCCCCCACAUUGGAACUGAGACACGGUCCAAACUCCUACGGGAGGCAGCAGUGAGGAAUAUUGGUCAAUGGGCGAGAGUCUGAACCAGCCAAGUAGCGUGCAGGAUGACGGCCCUAUGGGUUGUAAACUGCUUUUAUAAGGGAAUAAAGUGAGUCUCGUGAGACUUUUUGCAUGUACCUUAUGAAUAAGGACCGGCUAAUUCCGUGCCAGCAGCCGCGGUAAUACGGAAGGUCCGGGCGUUAUCCGGAUUUAUUGGGUUUAAAGGGAGCGUAGGCCGGAGAUUAAGCGUGUUGUGAAAUGUAGACGCUCAACGUCUGCACUGCAGCGCGAACUGGUUUCCUUGAGUACGCACAAAGUGGGCGGAAUUCGUGGUGUAGCGGUGAAAUGCUUAGAUAUCACGAAGAACUCCGAUUGCGAAGGCAGCUCACUGGAGCGCAACUGACGCUGAAGCUCGAAAGUGCGGGUAUCGAACAGGAUUAGAUACCCUGGUAGUCCGCACGGUAAACGAUGGAUGCCCGCUGUUGGUCUGAACAGGUCAGCGGCCAAGCGAAAGCAUUAAGCAUCCCACCUGGGGAGUAC